GCUAUUAUACAUAAAUAUUAAUAGUAGUAUUAAUACAAGGGUCUUCACUUGCAUCCUACACAUACUCUUUCCUGUGUCAGGUAUGCCAUUCAUCUGUGAGAGGCAUUCUUCCUAGUUGGCCGGGAGAGACAGAGUAAGAGCUACCUAUAAACCAUAACUGAGGGGUGCUAGUGAGGGGUUCUGCCCCCUAACUGCCCAUUAUGCUGAAAUUCCUGCAUUAUAAAAUAAUCCUUUGGGUCUGGAAAGCUUAUCUUUUAUUUAAGAUGUUCUUGCUUUUCCUCCCUGACUGUCUGAAGAUAGGCCGCCAUCAUCAACACCGUAACUGUCCGCACUUCAAAGUUCAUGACCAACCGACUACUUCAGAGGAAACAAAUGGUCAUCGAUGUCCUUCACCCCGGGAAGGCAACAGUGCCUAAGACAGAAAUUCGGGAAAAACUAGCCAAAAUGUACAAGACCACACUGGAUGUCAUCUUUGUAUUUGGAUUCAGAACUCAUUUUGGUGGUGGCAAGACAACUGGCUUUGGCAUGAUUUAUGACUCCCUGGAUUAUGCAAAGAAAAAGGAACCCAAACAUAGACUUGCAAGACAUGGCCUGUAUGAGAAGAAAAAGACCUCAAGAAAGCAACAAAAGGAACGCAAGAACAGAAUGAAGAAAGUCAGGGGGACUGCAAAGGCCAAUGUUGGUGCUGGCAAAAAGUGAGCUGGAGAUUGGAUCACAGCCGAAAGAGUAAAGGUGCUGCAGUAAAAGGCUACCUGUGUCCAUUAUGGAUUUUUCACGAGCAGAUUAAUAAACUAAAAACUUUCAUGUGGAGAAAAAAAAAAAAAAAAAA